rnacentral:lncRNA from 1 species
UUCAGGACAUCCAGGCAGCCACACCAGUGCAACUGAAGACACUCAGGAAAGAGGACUUCCAGAGCUGCUUCAGAGUAUGGCAAGAACAAUGGGCUCCAGGCUAACCAUGAGAAAAACAGCAGACAAGUCUCAACUCCAGGACAGCUGCAAAACACCUGACCAGCGCUCCUCGAAACUGUCCAAAACAAGGAAAGUCUGAGAAACUGUCAGAAUCAAGCCUUGGCUAGCCUCGAAUUUGUGGCAGUCCUCCUGCCUCAACCUCCUGAGUGCUGGGAUUAGAGGGGACAGAGGACCGGCCCUCCAUGAGAAGUGCAUCUCCCCUCACUGUGUGUGCCCCGGGGCCAAACAUCUAAUUCGAGGCAUCUGACGUUGGCUCAUGCAGAUACGGAAUAACCGCUUUCCUAAGGAAGAAGCAGGAGGGUAAGACCUCCAAAUCGGAGUUCUUGCUUCAUUUAUUUUUCUGGUAUGUUGAGAAAUUUGUGCCCAGCUGCAUUUAUUUAUAACAAACCAGAAUGAGAAGUCCUGUGUCGUCUUAUUUGUUUAUUGCUGAAACAAAAAAAUCUAUAAGUAUUGUCAAAGAAAGAACAGACUGAAAUUUCACUAUGACUGGGUUUAAAUGGAACCCAAAAUCUUGAGUAAAACUUUAAUCACAAAAUGAGUUUAUGAAAUGCGUGUGUGUUUGGCUGUGUGUCUAUCAUUGUUUGUGAAUGUAGCAUGUGUAUAUAGUAGAUGUUGAUGUACAAAGCAUGUGUUCAUGCUGAAUAGAUGUGACUGGAGUGUGUGCGGGUCUAGUGUGUGCAUGUGGUAUGCAGUGGGUGUUCGUAAACCACAAGAGUGCAUGUUUGUGUUCAGCAUGGUGUGUGCAAUCUGCAUGCUGUAUGUAGUAAACAGAAAAGGUGGUACAGUGUGUGUGUGUGUGUGGGACGUGUGUGCACAGUCCAUGUGUACAUGGCCCAUGACAUGUGAAUUCUGGGUACGCAUGUGGUGUCCUUGCUCUGACCCACUGGCCUUGAGCAGGCCUGGGAAUGACACAAAGUAGUGAAGCAGCUUCCUGGAGGACCAUGCAAGGAAUGAGAGUGAAGAGCCCUGUAACAUUUUCAGGCCUUACUCUUCCAGGAGGAAAUCAGGAAUUUCUGGAGUCUGCUUUACACACCCUGCAAAACCCAAACUAGCAGAAUGACUGCAGUGUGGUGGAAACCCCACUGCCAGCUCAUGAAGCCCAAUUGAAAAGCUUGUAGUUUCCGAG